UUUAAAAUUGUGCGUGUUGGCAUAGCGCGUGGUUUCAUGCUCUGCUUUCAUGCUUCUAAACUCAUAUAUACAAACAUAAAGUGUAUUCCGUGGAUAACUACAGGCCACUGACAGCGAACCAAUUACUGAAUGCUUUCACGCCGUGACACUAGGCCUAAGCCCAACUAUACACAAUGUGGAGUCUUGUUUAUUAGUGACUAAGUCGAGUAAGGACUGCUCGUGAGAUUCGAGUCACUCCCCCAAGAAUGGAUAGUGGAAUUACUGUCCUUAUUCGUAACAAUGCGUCGGGGUUCGGACAUAAAAACAGCGCCUCCGAGUUUGAAGGUACAAAAAGGGAAUACCAACAAUUCAAGGAAAACGAACGCCGGGGCAGCAUUUGAGCCGUUAGGGGGCUGGGACGCUGAGGAUGACGUGGAAGACCUUAGCAUAACAGACUGGGCUACGGAAAAGUACGAAACACAUACACCUAACCAUGCUGAAAAUGUGACGGCCAAACCCAGGUCAGAAUCCCAGUCGCGGCUUUGGGAAAAAUUCCUGUGCGUACCAUCAUUAAAAUGUACGGGGAUAAAGAACAUUGACGACUUCAAGGACAACAGUCUCUCGGAACUAAUCCUGAAAGAAAAUGAGGAAAAGACAAAACCAAAUGAUGAGAAAAAAGUGAAAGUAAAAGAAGAUGACGAAAGGUGCUAUGGAUGUCAGAAUAAUAGGACAGGGCUAACAAGAGCUGUGACUCAAGUAAACCUCCGACCGCCGAAUCAAACCCUGCCAAACCGCGCCAAAUCAUCGAAUAAUCUGUCUCUACGGUCAAGGUCAAAAUUGGGCUUGGUCUAUCGGAAAUAUGCAGAUGAGGAUGAGGACCAGGAUGUAGUGCGCAAGAACACUUCCGGUAAUUUCUUUCAACCCAGUGUCAAAUUUAGUGCUAAUUCUAGUUCGACUUCUACUACACAACAGGAAAAUCCAUCUCGGACUCAAUCCAGUGUCUCUUUUAAUAUCAUUCAGGAAUCACCGGAGGGAAAAAGGCAACGGGAGAUCAAAAGUGCGCACGCGCUGCGGUCGGUGCAGGUUAUUUCUCCUGCGGUGAAAUUGUGCUAUACUAAUGGUGUUGACCCUUCUCGAACCAAUGGAUCGGUCGCGGGGCAUUUUCUUAGAAGUAAAACAAUGUCAGUUAUAAACGGGGACACAAGUCAACGAUACGGUAUGGAAUCGGAAAAAACCUAUGACCGCUGUAAAUCUACAUCUAGUGACAACAGUAGUCAAGAUAAAACAUUUGUGACGAAUUUGAAAUCAAAAUUUACUAAAGGUAAUCAAUUGCGUUCGAAAAAUAAACCAAAUGAUAGUCAGAAUGACUUCAGUGGUAUGUCUCGAAAUAACUCGGUUAAAAAACACAUGAGUAAGUUGGCGAAGCGCCAGGAGCAAGCGCAAGCAGACGCUAAUGGCGAGUCGGAUAUUGCCCCUUUAACUAUGGUGCUAAGGAAAUAUUCAAAUGAAAGUGAAACAGACAUUGAUGCAAGGUUAAAACGGGUGCAAGAUUUGGAAUCUAAACUCAAGCUUGCGCAUCCGAAUGGCUUAAAAUUAGAACAACAAUGUGGCGUAAAGACUGUGGAUCCCGUUAAGGGGGACAUUUCUCACCUUGUGAUCAACGGUGUGAAAGACUCCGUCACGGUUCGCUUUCUUGAAGCAGACGAAGAGGAUUAUGAAGAAGACGCCGAAGAUCAAGGAAAAGAGGCCAUUUUUCCGAUCGGGGAAAUGUUACCCGAUGAUGCGAUCGGGGCACCGCCGAACUCGGUCAGGUUCGACCCCGAUCAACGGGCUAGCACUGAUAUUGAUAGGGAUAUGAAGGUGACAGGGAGGGAUCUGUUGGUGCAUCAUGAAGACAGCCUUAUUCUACUGCGGGAGGGCAUCGAUGGCAUUGGGAUCAAGGAUAAAUAUGGACAUCAAGCACAUUUGGGUCCACCAGCUUUCCGACCGAUGUCACAGAAGACUAUUCUACACCGGGCAAAGGAGAGCACACAGAAGAGGAUGAACGGCAAAUCACACUUACAUUUACCUUUGGAAGUUGAAAAUACCACUGCCUUUUUACGGGUGAGAAUGCCUAAAUUGUCUAACUUCUCGCGCGAAUCGAAGAGAGUGCAAUCUGCAGCCCAAAAUGAGGCUGGUAAAGGUUUGGUCGGUUCCCCGACAUUGAUGACGAACUUCCACAGUGUUCCCCGUUUGACUUUGAGCCACCGCAGCCUUUCAGCAAACCCCUCGCCAGGCAGGACAGUCUCGGCGCACUGUUUAAGUUAUCGAGGCGGAGGCGCACCUUCGGCGAGCAGGCCCAAGACCGCACAACCAUGAUCGACUUCCAGCACGCACGGGCUAAGUUGCAGAUGGGGCUGGGUGAUGUCUUGAGGCGAUACCAACACCAAGAGGACGUCUAAGCUGUGAUAACAAACACUAAAGUAAAUACUACAUGAAAAGCCAGAGGAAACUGCAGAGAUUGUCUGACGUCAUUAAAGAGUUUACGGUCGUAUUUACAGGACUCGACGAGUCAGGCCCGUAAAUCAAAUUCCGAAUCUCAAGGAGCACUUCCGAACUUGUUGCCCCGCCCGUCUUGACGAAUUGGUACGGGGAAAUAAAACAGCAUUGAAACUGAUGGCGUCGCGCACGAAUGUGUAAUCACCUCGUUCUCGGAGUUGGGGCCAAUGAUAUAAUAGCCUGGUUUCACAAUUAGUACGAAUGUCAGUAGUCUCAUCAAGUCCCGUCCUAUUUAUUUACAUGGUACUCUUAAAUCUUCUAUUAUAUUUAGUUGAAAGAGGAUCAGAGAAAUAUUUUUCUUCAAACAUCGCCGAUGAAAUAAAUGUUCAUAAUUCAAAAUUCGUCGCUCGUCGCUCAUUGCGAAACCUGCCUAUCGUUCAUGGAGUGUCAACGACCUUAGAAACGCAUUUUUGUGACUUCACGGUCGACGUAUUAUCAUAUUGAUAAUGUUGUCAUACUAUUUGUAUCCCAGUGGUCGUAGAGACUAUGCCAUGAGUGAUACCUCGACAAAAUGUGUCAGUGGUAAUUGUUUGUAGAUAAUUUCAACAAAUAAAUAUAAUAUUUACAAGUUA